rnacentral:lncRNA from 1 species
GCUGAUGUCCUGCUGGUGAGGCCAGAGCACCCCAGCCCACUCUACAGGCAAAGGUGAGGGAAGGGCUUUGGGGCAUCACCUGCUGUCUUCACAAAGGCAUUUUUAGAGCUUAUAUUCUGAGCUGUACAGCAAGCAGAAAAGUAAUACGUGUAAUAAGUAAAGAAAUAUUAUGUACUUGAAUUUUUAAUUAAGUUUUAUUUAUGAUGUUGUCAUCCGUGUUGAAACAUUGAGAAUAGCUCUACCUUUAAUGCAGGAAGGAUUUCCUUUAUCUACAAAUUUUACAAUAAAAAAGGAAAAGGAACGGGGCUAUUUUUACAUUGCAAGUGCCUUUAUGUCAAAUAUAAGCUAGAUUUUAUUUUUUAAUGAAACUUAAAUUAGCCUAGUUAAGAAACCAAUAACCAUAUUUCCUAAUUCAGUUUAUUAAAGUAAUAAACACAGCUAUUCCAGGAAAUGAAAACAUUUCUGAAUAUGAAAUAGAGUUCUCUGCAGAAGAUAUUCAAGUGUGGUUCUCUGACAUUAAGCAGUAAAACAGUAUAUUUGGGUAUAAAACAGGCUUCUAUAUAGUCAUGUGUUCUGGGCACCAUCCAGCCUGAUUGAUAUCUGUGCGUAAUGCAGAUUCUUAGCACUUCUGACAGCUUGGUUUGUUUUAUUUGGAUGUUUAAGUUGAAUUUAGAUGUCUAAAUUUAAGCAGCAAGAUAAUCCCAUGCUUGUACCUUGUUUUUGAACGUGAAGAUAGCUUCAGCUGCAUUAAGGAGCCUGAAAUGACAGGACCAGAACUGAUAUUUAAUAAUACACCAUACUGUAAGAAUACUGCAUUUCAACAUAGUUAUUAAGAAAUGCCAUUAGUCAGAGGCAGAAGUGUUUGUUAUUUAUUGCUUAAUGCCUUUAAGUUUCAAUUCAAGAAAAGUGAAAAGUACAAAAACAGAUCCAUUGCCAUUAGACUGAUGUGGAAGUAACUGGAUUGGUUCUUGACAAGCUCCCAUUGUUUUAUAUUGAAUGUUUUGCUUCUUGUCUCUGGAGAAGUGCAGCCAGGUUUUGCCUGGCCUGGAGUCCUGGAGCUGCACUGCAGGAGGACUCCAUGCUGGCCCAGGAGAUGGGUGCCACUGCCUGACACAAGGAUAAUUUACUCUACUAGGAUCUUAGCAGAGACCUCGAGAGGCCACACACCUCCUGUGCUGCAGGACAGAAGCUCCUUGGGCACCUCAAUACCCAUCGCAUCCACUGGGUCCUAAGGAAAUCCUGAUCUCCCAGUUGUUUGUUGUUUUUUUUUUUUCUAUGUACUGGAUAUCUCUAUCACUUCCUCUUACAGUUCUCUCAGAAUAGUGGUUGGUUUCCCUUAAGUAAGAGUAGAGGAAAAGGCGAUGAGCAGCUCUCUAUAUGAGGCAGUCAGUGCUGGGUGGUAACACUGGAAACCUUCUCAUCUGCACUGAAAAAAAUAAUAUUUAACACAGCUAUGGAGUCUACCGGGAGAUACCAGUUAUUUCCA